AUUGAACGCUGGCGGCAGGCCUAACACAUGCAAGUCGAACGAGUGGCGGACGGGUGAGUAAUGUCUGGGAAACUGCCCGAUGGAGGGGGAUAACUAUUGGAAACGAUAGCUAAUACCGCAUACCAUCAGAUGUGCCAAGAGGGGAUUAGCUAGUAGGUGGGGUAACGGCUCACCUAGGAGACGAUCCCUAGCUGGUCUGAGAGGAUGACCCGCCACACUGGAACUGAGACACUGUCCAGACUCCUACGGGAGGCAGCAGUGGGGAAUAUUGCACAAUGGGCGCAAGCCUGAUGCAGCCAUGCCGCGUGUAUGAAGAAGGCCUUCGGGUUGUAAAGUACUUUCAGCGGGGAGGCGUUACCCGCAGAAGAAGCACCGGCUAACUCCGUGCCAGCAGCCGCGGUAAUUC
rnacentral:rRNA from 1 species